rnacentral:rRNA from 1 species
GAUGAACGCUGGCGGCGUGCCUAAUACAUGCAAGUCGAGCGAACAGACGAGGAGCUUGCUCCUCUGACGUUAGCGGCGGACGGGUGAGUAACACGUGGAUAACCUACCUAUAAGACUGGGAUAACUUCGGGAAACCGGAGCUAAUACCGGAUAAUAUAUUGAACCGCAUGGUUCAAUAGUGAAAGACGGUUUUGCUGUCACUUAUAGAUGGAUCCGCGCCGCAUUAGCUAGUUGGUAAGGUAACGGCUUACCAAGGCGACGAUGCGUAGCCGACCUGAGAGAGGGAUCGGCCACACUGGAACUGAGCCGCGGUCCAGACUCCUACGGGAGGCAGCAGUAGGGAAUCUUCCGCAAUGGGCGAAAGCCUGACGGAGCAACGCCGCGUGAGUGAUGAAGGUCUUCGGAUCGUAAAACUCUGUUAUUAGGGAAGAACAAAUGUGUAAGUAACUAUGCACGUCUUGACGGUACCUAAUCAGAAAGCCACGGCUAACUACGUG